rnacentral:lncRNA from 1 species
CCCUUCCUCGCAGUCACGGCUCAAGGUACAGCCGAUACGAAGCGCCACGGGUUACAACGCUAAUAAUCAAUCGAAUUAAUUUUAAUCUACGAUGGUCCUUUUUUUCCCGUAAUGAAUCUUGAAAUAAUGUUACAAUAAAAGAUAUAAUUGACAUAAAGCUUGUUCGAUACGUGCAUAUAUUUAGUGAUUUAAAGGCAAAUAGAAAAAAACGGUAAAACACGUGUUCAUCAUAAAUUUACAUCUAGUACUUUCUUGCAAAGUUAUAGGAUUGCAUCCUGUAAGACGGACACAAAAAGCUCGGAACAAAGGAGAGGAUGAAUUCAACUAGCAUUAUACCAAUGUACCAUGAAGCUACAGAGAUGGUUUAAUCAUAAUUACUAACAAAAAAAACUAUGAGGUAUUUCCAUUUAAUCCAAGCUUAUUUGAACGAAAAUCUUUACGUCAUAAUUAAACGUUAUCUAUCGAAGUACAUGAUACAAUAACCAAAAGGCAAAAGAGCUAUUUCAUUCUUUCAAGUUCUCCAGCUUUGUAUAGACUAAGGAAGCUGUAUAACCAUUAGUGUUAAUCAAUUUCCACGAGGAUUUAUUGCCCCUUUAUGAAGAACUUUUUAAGCUCAUUUACUUUUUCUCUUAUUUAAGAGAAACUUCUGCAUCGUUUCAUCACUCUAUAUUAAUGAUGGAUACAAACUUUUAAAUUUAUGAUAUGACUAAAACGUGAAUAAACGCUAUUGUAUCAAAGAACAGUGUGAAAAAUCUCAUCAAAGAAGAAACAAAAGGAAAUAACUGUAAAAGAUAGAUUAAGGUCAAGUAAGGUGAAGUUCAGCGGUAAGAAUGAAAAGGAGGUGCAGGUGGAGACGGAUCAAAGUAAUUUUAAACAACCGUGCGACUGGUUUCUCGAGAUUUCACGCUGGUUCCUGACAGGUAAUGCCCUCGGGACGCACAUGGAAAAAAACCAAAUGGAAACCUAAUGUAUCGCCUCAGACGGACCUGUCAUUGAAACUGAUCAUUCCACGCGGGAGGUACGGGUCCUUGCGUCUUAUUCAUGACCGACUACUUCUGGCCAAUCAUCUCGCAUUCUGAAUGGGCCACCUGCAGUUACAGAGAGAAGGGAUGCAUGAUAAACUCGAACCGUUUGACCAGAUAGAUUAGUUCAGAACUUCUUUCUUCGAACAGAUAAUGGACAAUGCGAGGUUUCAUCGUGCAUGGAUUUUCGUAUAAAAAGAUAAGAAGCGCAGAAGAGGAAAGUCACAUGAAUCAAUGUAUGUAGAAAGAUAAGGAUUGUUCAAGGACAAUGGAGUUUAAAGAGACAAAUGGUAAACUUCGCGUCUCAAUUUUUAUGGAUUCGAAAACAUGCAUUCGGAAAGUCAUGUUUUACAUUCGAUAGAUUCCACGACAAAGAGAAAACAUGAAAAAAGAAAAUGAUGAAAAAGGGAAGAACAAACGCGGUUGUUCAAAGACACAUCGAUAUUCCCUAUGCUCUCCAUCUUGUCGUCACGAUAUAAAAUACCGGCUAAAAAAGGAGCGCUGAAUGGCCGAUACCCGACUAAAAACCGGACUUGCUCUCGUUACACGAAGCCAAAGAAACGAAGCAGUUGGCUACAGCACGGUGCAGGUGGGUUGCCAGAUGGCCAGAACGGAAACAGUGAAUGAAGGAACGAAAAGAAACGAAAGGAACACCGUUCAUCACGAAUACGCGACAAGACAAACGCGACCGCACGAACCGAAUACCAAUUUCGAGUUCCUGUCGCGCGAUUCUGGAUAUUUAUUCUCAUUUUGUUCAACAUGUUGUAAAAUUCCACAUAAUUAUAAAGAACAGAAAAAAAUUAUUGAUUUGAAUGAGAUA